rnacentral:misc_RNA from 1 species
GAUGAAGAACGUGGCGAAAUGCGAUAAGUAAUGUGAAUUGCAGAAUUCAGUGAAUCAUCGAAUCUUUGAACGCACAUUGCGCCCCUUGGUAUUCCGAGGGGCAUGCCUAUUCGAGCGUCAUUAUCACCCCUCAAGCCUAGCUUGGUGUUGAGGCCUGCUGUCAAGGCAGCCUCUAAAAUCAGUGGCAGUGCUGUCAGGCUCUAAGCGUAGUAAAUCUAAUCGCUAUAGACACCUGGUGGACACUCGCCAGAACCCCCCCCAUUUUUUAAUGAUUGACCUCGGAUUAGGUAGGGAUACCCGCUGAACUUAAGCAUAUCAAUAAGCGGAGGA